CCUACGGGAGGCUGCAGUCGAGAAUCUUCCGCAAUGGGCGAAAGCCUGACGGAGCGACGCCGCGUGUGUGAUGAAGGCCUUCGGGUUGUAAAGCACUGUCAGGGGGGAACAAAACAAUGAGUGAUCCCCAGAGGAAGCACGGGCUAAGUUCGUGCCAGCAGCCGCGGUAAGACGAACCGUGCGAACGUUGUUCGGAAUCACUGGGCUUAAAGGGCGCGUAGGCGGUCUAUCAAGUCGGGGGUGAAAUCUUGCAGCUUAACUGUAAAAGUGCCUUCGAUACUGAUGGACUUGAGGGAGGUAGGGGCAGGUGGAACUUCCAGUGGAGCGGUGAAAUGUGUUGAUAUUGGAAGGAACGCCGGUGGCGAAAGCGACCUGCUGGAUCUCUUCUGACGCUGAGGCGCGAAAGCUAGGGGAGCAAACGGGAUUAGAUACCCUUGUAG
rnacentral:rRNA from 1 species